rnacentral:rRNA from 1 species
UACGGAGGAUGCAAGCGUUAUCCGGAUUCAUUGGGUUUAAAGGGAGCGUAGGCGGGAGGUCAAGUCAGCUGUGAAAUGUAUCUGCUUAACGGGUACACUGCAGUUGAAACUGGUUUUCUUGAGUGCGUAAGAGGCAGGCGGAAUUCGUUGUGUAGCGGUGAAAUGCUUAGAUAUGACGAGGAACUCCUAUUGCGAAGGCAGCUUGCUGGGUCGUUACUGACGCUGAUGCUCGAAGGUGCGGGGAUCAAACAGGAUUA